GGCAAAGAGCUGUGGGUCUGGAUUGCUGUAGGAGCCAGUUCUGUGGUUCUUAUCGGACUUAUCAUUGUGACCGUUUUCAUCCGACAAAGGAACAAACGGAUAAAGAAGAGGAUGAGGAAGCUGAGAUCCAUGCGGCAGCCUCUUACAGCCAAAGACUACUGCCAGUGCAACAGAAUGAAUCUGAGAAUGAAGUAGAGCUGGAUCAGGGAGCGAGGUCACUUCCAGUGUCCAGAUGAGAGCACAACCCACGUACACGUACAGCAGGCCCAAACCACACCAACUGAGAGGAGCAAAGCGCAAGACACAGAAAAACACACCCUGUGCUUUUAAAUGUGCUUCUUGAUUAAUAAUGCUAAAUAAAACAUGCACUUUUCAAGAUUUACAGUAGAACCAGGCUACACAUAUGUGAUGUUUACUGUACAUUAAAAACAAAUCCUGUUGCAGAGUAUAUAAUAUAAAUAUUUUCACAACUGU